GGGGCAGGGAAAAGGGACUCUCUUGCUUCCAGGAAGAAAGGGUAUUUCUUUCCGGUGGAAGGCAGAGGGGGUCUGUCCACCAUUGUUCUCCAUUGUCCCAGGCUUGGCCCAGAAUUAAUCUUUGAAGAGCUUCAAAUGCUGUAUCUCAAGGUUCUAUCCAGAACUGAGAGUAGACAUCAGUUAUAGAGAGCCCUACUCGGUUUUUUUUCUGGAUUUUUUUGGUGGUGAGGACGGAAGAGCACUGAUGGGAGAAGAUAUACUCUACAAUUUUUCCAUUUCAUAUGGAAAGUCUCGUGUUUGUCAUCUGUUUGCUAAUGUU